rnacentral:rRNA from 1 species
CUAAGGUUUCCAGAGGAAGGCUCGUCCGCUCUGGGUUAGUCGGGUCCUAAGCUGAGGCCGACAGGCGUAGGCGAUGGAUAACAGGUUGAUAUUCCUGUACCACCUAUAAUCGUUUUAAUCGAUGGGGGGACGCAGUAGGAUAGGCGAAGCGUGCGAUUGGAUUGCACGUCUAAGCAGUAAGGCUGAGUAUUAGGCAAAUCCGGUACUCGUUAAGGCUGAGCUGUGAUGGGGAGAAGACAUUGUGUCUUCGAGUCGUUGAUUUCACACUGCCGAGAAAAGCCUCUAGAUAGAAAAUAGGUGCCCGUACCGCAAACCGACACAGGUAGUCAAGAUGAGAAUUCUAAGGUGAGCGAGCGAACUCUCGUUAAGGAACUCGGCAAAAUGACCCCGUAACUUCGGGAGAAGGGGUGCUCUUUAGGGUUAACGCCCAGAAGAGCCGCAGUGAAUAGGCCCAAGCGACUGUUUAUCAAAAACACAGGUCUCUGCUAAACCGUAAGGUGAUGUAUAGGGGCUGACGCCUGCCCGGUGCUGGAAGGUUAAGAGGAGUGGUUAGCUUCUGCGAAGCUACGAAUCGAAGCCCCAGUAAACGGCGGCCGUAACUAUAACGGUCCUAAGGUAGCGAAAUUCCUUGUCGGGUAAGUUCCGACCCGCACGAAAGGCGUAACGAUUUGGGCACUGUCUCAACGAGAGACUCGGUGAAAUCAUAGUACCUGUGAAGAUGCAGGUUACCCGCGACAGGACGGAAAGACCCCGUGGAGCUUUACUGUAGCCUGAUAUUGAAAUUCGGCACAGCUUGUACAGGAUAGGUAGGAGCCUUUGAAACGUGAGCGCUAGCUUACGUGGAGGCGCUGGUGGGAUACUACCCUAGCUGUGUUGGCUUUCUAACCCGCACCACUUAUCGUGGUGGGAGACAGUGUCAGGCGGGCAGUUUGACUGGGGCGGUCGCCUCCUAAAAGGUAACGGAGGCGCUCAAAGGUUCCCUCAGAAUGGUUGGAAAUCAUUCAUAGAGUGUAAAGGCAUAAGGGAGCUUGACUGCGAGACCUACAAGUCGAGCAGGGUCGAAAGACGGACUUAGUGAUCCGGUGGUUCCGCAUGGAAGGGCCAUCGCUCAACGGAUAAAAGCUACCCCGGGGAUAACAGGCUUAUCUCCCCCAAGAGUUCACAUCGACGGGGAGGUUUGGCACCUCGAUGUCGGCUCAUCGCAUCCUGGGGCUGUAGUCGGUCCCAAGGGUUGGGCUGUUCGCCCAUUAAAGCGGUACGCGAGCUGGGUUCAGAACGUCGUGAGACAGUUCGGUCCCUAUCCGUCGUGGGCGUAGGAAAUUUGAGAGGAGCUGUCCUUAGUACGAGAGGACCGGGAUGGACAUACCUCUGGUGUACCAGUUGUCGUGCCAACGGCAUAGCUGGGUAGCUAUGUGUGGACGGGAUAAGUGCUGAAAGCAUCUAAGCAUGAAGCCCCCCUCAAGAUGAGAUUUCCC